AGGACCAGAGGACCAGAGGACCAGAGGACCUGGACCCGCCUCAGCUCUGCUCUCACUGUGUUGUUCAUCUCAAACUGCAGCUGUGUGUUUAAACCUGUGUUUCUGUGGGAGCUGAUCCCUGAUCAGCUGAAUCUGCGUCUCUGUGGACAGAGCUCGUCUCCUGACAGUAAUCUUUACAAAGAGGGAAACUGACCUGAGACCAGAUCAGUGAAUCACAAAGACAUUUCUGCUGAGUGUUUCUGAAGAUGAGGCGAAGUCUGUUUGGAAACUUUUGAUUCAGGUUCAGCAGCCGCAAGCUUUUCUUUUCUUUUCUUUUCUUUUUCUUUCUUUUCUUUUCUUUUCUUUCUUUUCUUUUCUUUUCUUUUCUUUCUUUUCUUUUCUUUUUCUUUCUUUUCUUUUCUUUCUUUUCUUUGUCGUCCUCUCCUGACUCACAGUAGAAACAGAAUCAGAGCUUCACUCUCUCUCUGCAGGUGACUCACGUCUGAACACAGUCAGUGUAACCGUUCGUCACCGCUGAGCCACACCGAGCAGCAGCAACUCCAACUAUCCACUGUCAUUAAACACAUCACUGUUACACUGGGUGACAUGUUCCUUCAUCACACACACACACACACACACACUGUCCUGCAACAACUGUGGAUUAAUCCGCCGCUGGAAAUAGUCCCCAACACAAGCUUCAUGUAUUUCCUCCUGAAAUCCCUGAAGCUUUAUAGAGAUGAAACAUCAGUGAGGUGUUUUACAGAUUUACCUUCAGUAGGAAUCGACCUGAUGAUUCUUUCAUUUCACUGCUCCUUAAGAACUGAAAUUAACUGAUUUACAAGAAAACUGCAGAGUUAAGACUGAAUCACCUCCUGACCCCUCCUCAGAGAUCCUGUGAUCACUUCAGGGGUCCUGACCCAUAGUUUGGGAACCACAGGAAUAUUAGAUUUUCUAGCUCUAACUCCUUCAGAGUUCCUGAGACAUGAUGUUCUCUCUCUCUGUGUGUUCAGAUCAGGUUGCAGUGAACUCAUCACCUGUCCUCAGUAAACACACACCUGUCGUGCCCGUGGCGGGGCCUGAUGGGAGUGGGUGGGGCCUGAUGGGAGUGGGCGGGGCCUGAUGGGAGUGGGCGGAUCCCAGAAGUCUCUGGAAAAUGUUUUGUUUUCUGCUCCUGAACUUUAUUUAUUAUAAGUGUGUCGGCAGAAACCGGUCGGUCGGCUCUGAACCGACAACCACCUGCCAACCAGGGCCAGGUGUGACUGAGACGUUCAGGGACCCUCAUGAUAUCAGAGAAAUGAAGCAGAAAGAUCAGCCGCCAUCUUGGUGCUGGUGACGUCUUCAGGCCACAGGUGGAGGUGCAGGAUCACAGCUGUCAAUCAUGACAUCACCUCCUCCACCACCUCCUCCUACAGUUAGUGAGUGAGUUCUUCAAGUUAUGGACAGUGACCUCUGACCUCUGACCUCUGAAAUCUAAUCACCUGUGGUCACGACCGUCACCGACACGUCAGCGUGAUGAAACAGUUCUGUCUGGUCCAGGUCUCAGCCUCUGACGGACUGCACCUUCAUGUCGUCUCUUUAGUUUUUCUCUUGUAUCACUGAAACCUCACUGAUCAUCCUGAUAAACCACUGUGCUGCAGAUAGUGAAGCUGAUACACAAUGUUUCAGCCUGUGAGGACAGAGUGUGUGUGUGUGUGUGUGUGUGUGUGUGUGUGUGUGUGUGUGUGUGUGGUUGUAGUGCAGCCUGCAGCCUGCAGGGGGCAGCAGCUCAGGCCUCAGGUUCACCUGUGUUCAGUUUGAAUCUUAUCUUUAUAAUAAGUGUGUGAAGAUUAGACGUCCAGGCUGCUGUAAACUGCGUGGGACGAGAGUGUGUGUGUGUGUGUGUGUGUGUGUGUGUGUGAUAAUCAAAGGAACCUGUGUUUACUUUUUCAGGUGUGUCUCACCUGAGAUCAAAGCCACAGGAAGCGGGGGGCGGGACAUCUGUUAACGGACAGCUUCGCCCACGUCCACAGAGUCUGAGACACAGGACGACAAAGAGACAAAGUUCAGCUUCAAACUGUCCUCAGACUGUGAUUCAAACUGGUCCAUGAAAUAACUUUAUUUACACAUCAGAGAACAAACAGAAUCAGAAAGGAACCCGAUUCCCAGGAGAAUGAAGAAUAACGAUGGAUGGAUGUUAGAAACAGUAACGACCCUCUGGUUGUUUUCAUCUGGUUAAAUGUUGAACCACAGAGAGUCUGUGAAACCUUUACUGUCUGAAAACACAAAGGUUCUUCACUCAGAUCUUAAUACGUUCGGAGUGUAACCUGUGUUUAACAGUUCAUCAUAUUCUAUGGAUUAAAACCUCCUGCAGCAGUAGAUCAUACGAGUGUGUGAUGAUCAGUUUUAUAUGAGUGUGACUCCAGAAACCAGAUCUCCUCUGUGUGUUCCCUCUGUGGACGGGAGAAUAAAUAAAACAUCAACAGGUGUCAGAGUGUUUGUAACAGAAACUAAAACAGGUCGUUAGCGUACGGUGGCCUGCAGGGACAAACAGCCUGUAACGUCUGACAGUUGAGAUAAAGUCAGGUCAGAUUAAUGAUCCAGUCACACACCUGUGGCAGUUAAAAAUAAACCUGAGUGGUUUUUCUCUGAUAAUAAAGAGUCACAGGUGGAUCGGCUCACUGCCGUCGACUUCCUGUCGCCAACGUUAA